UAAUGAUUCUUCAGUUGGGACUUCAGAAGGUUUCUCUUCCUCAACUUCAGGUUUGACAACAAUUUCAACUUCAGUUUUCUGAGAUGGUGUUUCCUCUGUUUCUGUUGUAAUUUCAAGAGUUUCCUCAUAGGUAACUAUUGAUUCUUCAGUUGGGACUUCAGA